GACGAACGCUGGCGGCGUGCUUAACACAUGCAAGUCGAACGGAAAGGCCUGCUUUCCCUUGUGGAUUGCGGGUACUCGAGUGGCGAACGGGUGAGUAACACGUGAGUGAUCUGCCCCCAACUUGGGUAUAAGCCUGGGAAACUGGGUCUAAUUCCCGAUAGGACUGCAGGGUGGUGCCUGUGGUGGAAAACGAUUUUCUAGUGGUUGGGGAUGAGCUCGCGGCCUAUCAGCUUGUUGGUGGGGUAAUGGCCUACCAAGGCGGCGACGGGUAGCCGGCCUGAGAGGGUGGACGGCCACAGUGGGACUGAGAUACGGCCCAGACUCCUACGGGAGGCAGCAGUGGGGAAUAGUGCACAAUGGGCGGAAGCCUGAUGCAGCGACGCCGCGUGGGGGAUGACGGCCUUCGGGUUGUAAACUCCUUUCGAUCGCGAGGAAGCCACCUGGUUGGAAGGGUGGUGACGGUAGUGGUAGAAGAAGCACCGGCUAACUACGUG
rnacentral:rRNA from 1 species